GACGAACGCUGGCGGCGUGCUUAACACAUGCAAGUCGAACGGAAAGGCCCUGCUUUUGUGGGGUGCUCGAGUGUCGAACGGGUGAGUAACACGUGAGUAACCUGCCCUUGACUUUGGGAUAACUUCAGGAAACUGGGGCUAAUACCGGAUAGGAGCUCCUGCUGCCUGGUGGGGGUUGGAGAGUUUCGGCGGUUGUGGAUGGACUCGCGGCUUAUAAGCUUGUUGGUGGGGUAGUGGCUGACCAAGGCUUUGACGGGUAGCCGGCCUGAGAGGGUGACCGGCAACAUGGGGACGGAGAUACGGCCGAGACUCCUACGGGAGGCAGCAGUGGGGAAUAUUGCACAAUGGGGGGAAGACGGAUGCAGCAACGCCGCGUGCGGGAGGAAGGGCUUCGGGUUGUAAACCGCUUUCGCCUGUGAAGAAGAGGGAGUGACGGUAACGGGUAAAGAAGCACCGGCUAACUACGUG
rnacentral:rRNA from 1 species